rnacentral:rRNA from 1 species
GUUAAGCGACUAAGCGUACACGGUGGAUGCCCUGGCAGUCAGAGGCGAUGAAGGACGUGCUAAUCUGCGAUAAGCGUCGGUAAGGUGAUAUGAACCGUUAUAACCGGCGAUUUCCGAAUGGGGAAACCCAGUGUGAUUCGUCACACUAUCAUUAACUGAAUCCAUAGGUUAAUGAGGCGAACCGGGGGAACUGAAACAUCUAAGUACCCCGAGGAAAAGAAAUCAACCGAGAUUCCCCCAGUAGCGGCGAGCGAACGGGGAGGAGCCCAGAGCCUGAAUCAGUGUGUGUGUUAGUGGAAGCGUCUGGAAAGGCGCGCGAUACAGGGUGACAGCCCCGUACACAAAAAUGCACAUGCUGUGAGCUCGAUGAGUAGGGCGGGACACGUGGUAUCCUGUCUGAAUAUGGGGGGACCAUCCUCCAAGGCUAAAUACUCCUGACUGACCGAUAGUGAACCAGUACCGUGAGGGAAAGGCGAAAAGAACCCCGGCGAGGGGAGUGAAAAAGAACCUGAAACCGUGUACGUACAAGCAGUGGGAGCACAGAGCAAUCUGUGUGACUGCGUACCUUUUGUAUAAUGGGUCAGCGACUUAUAUUCUGUAGCAAGGUUAACCGAAUAGGGGAGCCGAAGGGAAACCGAGUCUUAACUGGGCGUUAAGUUGCAGGGUAUAGACCCGAAACCCGGUGAUCUAGCCAUGGGCAGGUUGAAGGUUGGGUAACACUAACUGGAGGACCGAACCGACUAAUGUUGAAAAAUUAGCGGAUGACUUGUGGCUGGGGGUGAAAGGCCAAUCAAACCGGGAGAUAGCUGGUUCUCCCCGAAAGCUAUUUAGGUAGCGCCUCGUGAAUUCAUCUCCGGGGGUAGAGCACUGUUUCGGCAAGGGGGUCAUCCCGACUUACCAACCCGAUGCAAACUGCGAAUACCGGAGAAUGUUAUCACGGGAGACACACGGCGGGUGCUAACGUCCGUCGUGAAGAGGGAAACAACCCAGACCGCCAGCUAAGGUCCCAAAGUCAUGGUUAAGUGGGAAACGAUGUGGGAAGGCCCAGACAGCCAGGAUGUUGGCUUAGAAGCAGCCAUCAUUUAAAGAAAGCGUAAUAGCUCACUGGUCGAGUCGGCCUGCGCGGAAGAUGUAACGGGGCUAAACCAUG